rnacentral:misc_RNA from 1 species
UAUUACUUUGUGUCUGUUAGUCAACCUGAUCUGUUCUAUGUUCGUGGGGAGGGCAUCAUGGGCAUGUCCACACCAGUGUCCACAGCAAUGUCCACCCCAUGGCCACCCCAUGGCCACCCCAUGGCCACCCCAUGGCCACCCCAUGGCCACCCCAUGCCCACUCCCCCCGCACUCGCCCAUGCUGUCGCACAGACCAAAGCAGGCACUCCCGCACCCACUCCCUCAUAUCGAGGGGCACCAUCCAGCACCCCUCCCCCACUAAUGAUCCUUCCGCAGGUUCACCUACGGAAA